rnacentral:ncRNA from 2 species
AUUAUCCUUCGGGGUUGGGUGAAAUUCCCGAUCGGCGGUAAAGCCGCAAGCCAUUUGGCAGAUCCGGUUAAAUUCCGGGGCCGACAGUUAAAGUCUGGAUGAAAGAAGGAAAGA